rnacentral:rRNA from 1 species
GACGAACGCUGGCGGCGUGCUUAACACAUGCAAGUCGAACGGAAAGGCCCUGCUUUUGUGGGGUGCUCGAGUGGCGAACGGGUGAGUAACACGUGAGUAACCUGCCCUUGACUUUGGGAUAACUUCAGGAAACUGGGGCUAAUACCGGAUAGGAUCUCCUGCUGCGUGGUGGGGGUUGGAAAGUUUCGGCGGUUGGGGAUGGACUCGCGGCUUAUCUGCUUGUUGGUGGGGUAGUGGCUUACCAAGGCUUUGCCGGGUAGCCGGCCUGAGAGGGUGACCGGCGACAUUGGGACUGAGAUACGGCCCAGACUCCUACGGGAGGCAGCAGUGGGGAAUAUUGCACAAUGGGCGGAAGCCUGAUGCAGCAACGCCGCGUGCGGGAUGACGGCCUUCGGGGUGUAAACCGCUUUCGCCUGUGACGAAGCGUGAGUGACGGUAAUGGGUAAAGAAGCACCGGCUAACUACGUG